AAAGAACCGUGAAUUACAGUUGAAAUUGUAGAUUUCGUACAUGACAAUAAUUUGCUCGAGCAUCACUUUCAUGAUUUUGUGGUCUGUGUUGCCGUAUUUGAGAGCAUACAUUUCAUGUUCGAAAUCUACGAUUUUAACUCUAAUUUUUGGAUGGUUCUUUAUUUCAAUUACAGAGGGAU